UACAGAGGUCUCAAGCGUUGUUCGGAUUCAUUGGGCGUAAAGGGUGCGUAGGCGGCGCGGUAAGUCGGGUGUGAAAUCUUGGAGCUUAACUCCGAAACUGCAUUCGAUACUGCCGUGCUUGAGGACUGGAGAGGAGACUGGAAUUUACGGUGUAGCGGUGAAAUGCGUAGAUAUCUGGAGGAACACCGGUGGCGAAGGCGGCAUCCUGGACCGACACUGACGCUGAGGAGCGAAAGCCAGGGGAGCAAACGGG
rnacentral:rRNA from 1 species